GGGGGGCGGCUAUACAUGCAAGUCGAGCGAACUGAUUAGAAGCUUGCUUCUAUGACGUUAGCGGCGGACGGGUGAGUAACACGUGGGCAACCUGCCUGUAAGACUGGGAUAACUUCGGGAAACCGAAGCUAAUACCGGAUAGGAUCUUCUCCUUCAUGGGAGAUGAUUGAAAGAUGGUUUCGGCUAUCACUUACAGAUGGGCCCGCGGUGCAUUAGCUAGUUGGUGAGGUAACGGCUCACCAAGGCAACGAUGCAUAGCCGACCUGAGAGGGUGAUCGGCCACACUGGGACUGAGACACGGCCCAGACUCCUACGGGAGGCAGCAGUAGGGAAUCUUCCGCAAUGGACGAAAGUCUGACGGAGCAACGCCGCGUGAGUGAUGAAGGCUUUCGGGUCGUAAAACUCUGUUGUUAGGGAAGAACAAGUACAAGAGUAACUGCUUGUACCUUGACGGUACCUAACCAGAAAGCCACGGCUAACUACGUGCCAGCAGCCGCGGUAAUACGUAGGUGGCAAGCGUUAUCCGGAAUUAUUGGGCGUAAAGCGCGCGCAGGCGGUUUCUUAAGUCUGAUGUGAAAGCCCACGGCUCAACCGUGGAGGGUCAUUGGAAACUGGGGAACUUGAGUGCAGAAGAGAAAAGCGGAAUUCCACGUGUAGCGGUGAAAUGCGUAGAGAUGUGGAGGAACACCAGUGGCGAAGGCGGCUUUUUGGUCUGUAACUGACGCUGAGGCGCGAAAGCGUGGGGAGCAAACAGGAUUAG
rnacentral:rRNA from 2 species